rnacentral:sRNA from 1 species
AUGAUUGAGUAUAAGAACUAGAACCGCAAACUGAUCCCAAAAGCUAAAGUAGUGUUUCCUUGUUAGAAAAUACAAAGCCAAAGACUCAUAAAAACUUCUACUUCACCAUCAAA